GAUGAACGCUGGCGGCGUGCCUAAUACAUGCAAGUCGAGCGAACAGACGAGGAGCUUGCUCCUCUGACGUUAGCGGCGGACGGGUGAGUAACACGUGGAUAACCUACCUAUAAGACUGGGAUAACUUCGGGAAACCGGAGCUAAUACCGGAUAAUAUAUUGCACCGCAUGGUUCAAUAGUGAAAGACGGUUUUGCUGUCACUUAUCGAUGGAUCCGCGCCGCAUUAGCUAGUUGGUAAGGUAACGGCUUACCAAGGCAACGAUGCGUAGCCGACCUGAGAGGGUGAUCGGCCACACUGGAACGGAGACACGGUCCAGACGCCUACGGGAGGCAGCAGUAGGGAAUCUUCCGCAAUGGGCGAAAGCCUGACGGAGCAACGCCGCGUGAGUGAUGAAGGUCUUCGGAUCGUAAAACUCUGUUAUUAGGGAAGAACAAAUGUGUAAGUAACUAUGCACGUCUUGACGGUACCUAAUCAGAAAGCCACGGCUAACUACGUG
rnacentral:rRNA from 1 species